GUCUGUAUGACUCUUAUAUAAAGUCUGGCCUGCCCACUGAUACAAUGUAUUAAAGGGCCGCGGUAUCCUGACCGUGCGAAGGUAGCAUAAUCAAUUGUCUUUUAAUUGAAGGCUUGGAUGAACGGUUUGACGAUGGAGAGUCUGUCUCCCCUAAUCAUCUUAAAUUUAACUUUUGUGUGAGAAGGCACAAAUAUAAUAAGGGGACGAUAAGACCCUAUAAAACUUUAUACUGAGAGGUGAAGUUAGCAAUAAAUAAACUAAAACUAACCUUAACUAUUAAACUGGGGCGGUUGAAAUAUAACUAGUAGCUGUUUUUUUCAAAAAUAUACCUAUAAGUAUUUAUUGAACCUUUAAUAUAAAGAUUAUAAGAUCAAGUUACUUUAGGGAUAACAGCGUAAUUUUCUUUAAGAGUCCAUAUCGACAAGUAUAAGUUGCGACCUCGAUGUUGAAUUAAGGUAUACCCUCAAAAGCAGAAAUUUGAGUUAGUAGGUCUGUUCGACCUUUUAUUCCUUACAUGAUUUGAGUUUAAACCGGUGUGAG
rnacentral:rRNA from 1 species